ACUUGAAGAACUAAGGAAAAAGGGAGGGAGGGGGAGAAAAAAAAAACGUUCUCUCUAUCCCUGUAAUCAUUAGAAAGAAAAUGAAGUCCAAAUUGCGUUCAGGGCUGCUGGGACAGAGGAAGAGAAGCAAGAAUGGAAAAAACAGGCCGUAAAGAUGCCAGGGCUGCUUAAGCAGAAACAUCUGUUGAAGUCAUAAGACUAGGGGCCUGGUCAGGCUUCUAACAAACCCAGGAAGAGGAGAGUCUGUGCUGGAUCAGGACGAGCCUGGCCCACCCUGUGCAGGGCCCCUGGGACCAGCUUACGUGUGUGGAGGAGAUACCUUCUCCAGGGCGCCGCCUGGGCCUGGCUUCCAGCAGGAGAGGAAGCGAGAGGGAAGGGAGGGAGAGCCAUCCCCAGGCCAACUGUGCAAGGCCCACCUCUUCGAACAGAAACAGCAGCUAACACGGAUUGACUGUAUGCCUCUCUCUGUACCAGCUUCUUUCAACAAGUUCCAACAACCAUCACCACAUUCCACUGCAUGGGCAGCAACAUGUUUGACAAUACGUCAGUGACAGACACACACCACAGAAUUGGGAAGGUCCGUAUGUUUUUCAGGAGUUUGCCUGAUGGCAAUGACCCAAGUGCUGGGCCAGCUUGAAGUCCUACAAAGCAGUAGGCACAGCCAAUAUCCCCUUUGGUU